CUUCACCGACCCGAGCCACAGUGGACGAUCCUCGGAUCGGUCCCUGCCGUAGGCGGCGAGGAGCGCCUGCGCCUC
rnacentral:antisense_RNA from 1 species